GUCGUGUGGGAAAGGAGAGAAAGUUAGUACUCCUCUUGAGGACAGAAGAGGUUCUAAAUGAGCUUUGCUCAUGUACAGAUAUAACAGUGCCAUGUAUUCAGUGGCAUUUAACCACAUUUUCCU